rnacentral:rRNA from 1 species
GACGAACGCUGGCGGCGUGCUUAACACAUGCAAGUCGAACGAAGUGGCGAACGGGUGAGUAACGCGUAAUCAACCUGCCCUUCAGAGGGGGACAACAGUUGGAAACGACUGCUAAUACCGCAUACUGAAGGAGGGGAUUGCGUCUGAUUAGCUAGUUGGAGGGGUAACGGCCCACCAAGGCGAUGAUCAGUAGCCGGUCUGAGAGGAUGAACGGCCACAUUGGGACUGAGACACGGCCCAGACUCCUACGGGAGGCAGCAGUGGGGAAUCUUCCGCAAUGGGCGAAAGCCUGACGGAGCAACGCCGCGUGAGUGAUGAAGGUCUUCGGAUCGUAAAACUCUGUUAUUAGGGAAGCGGUACCUAAUCAGAAAGCCACGGCUAACUACGUGCCAGCAGCCGCGGUAAUAC